AUUGAACGCUGGCGGCAGGCCUAACACAUGCAAGUCGAGCGAGCGGCGGACGGGUGAGUAAUGUAUGGGGACUGCCCGAUAGAGGGGGAUAACUGCUGGAAACGGUAGCUAAUACCGCAUACUAUCGGAUAACCCAUAUGGGAUUAGCUAGUAGGUUAGGUAAUGGCUCACCUAGGCGACGAUCCCUAGCUGGUCUGAGAGGAUGAUCAGCCACACUGGGACUGAGACACGGUCCAGACUCCUACGGAGGCAGCAGUGGGGAAUAGUGCACAAUGGGCGCAAGCCUGAUGCAGCCAUGCCGCGUGUAUGAAGAAGGCCCUAGGGUUGUAAAGUACUUUCAGUCGGGAGGCGUUACCGACAGAAGAAGCACCGGCUAACUCCGUGCCAGCAGCCGCGGUAAUUC
rnacentral:rRNA from 1 species